rnacentral:rRNA from 1 species
GUGUUGAAGRUAACGCGAUAAGCACUCCGCCUGGGGACUACGGUCGCAAGACUAAAACUCAAAGGAAUUGACGGGGACCUGCACAAGCGGUGGAGCAUGUGGUUUAAUUCGAUGCAACGMGAAGAACCUUMCCACUCCUUSACAUGGGGACUAKAUCCUUYUUAACGGAAGGGCGCAGUUAGGCUGGKUCCCACMCAGGUGCUSCAUGGCKGUCGUCAGCUCGUKUCGUGAGAUGUUGGGUUAAKUCCCGCAACGAGCGUAACCYUCAYUYUUAGUUGCCAGCGGGUAAUGCCGGGCACUUUAAGAAAACKGCCGGUGGUAAACUGGAGGAAGGUGGGGAUGAUGUCAAGUCASCACGSCCCUUAUGGGGUGGGCUACACACGUGCUMCAAUGGUAGCUMCAAUGGGUUGCAAUGUCGCAAGGCGGAGYUAAUCCUCAAAAGYUAUCUCAGUUCGGAUUGUCCUCUGCAACUCGAGGGCAUGAAGUCGGAAUCGCUAGUAAUCGUGGAUCAGCAUGCCACGGUGAAUACGUUCUCGGGUCUUGUACACACUGCCCGUCACGCCAUGGGAA